GAUGAACGCUAGCUACAGGCUUAACACAUGCAAGUCGAGGGGUCUUUUGGGGCUUGCUUCAAGAGACGACCGGCGCACGGGUGAGUAACGCGUAUCCAACCUGCCCUUCAUAUUGGGAUAGCCUUCCGAAAGGGAGAUUAAUACCGAAUAACAUGAGAAAGUUGCAUGAUCUUUUCAUGAAAGCUCCGGCGAUGAAGGAUGGGGAUGCGUUCCAUUAGGUAGUAGGCGGGGUAACGGCCCACCUAGCCGACGAUGGAUAGGGGUUCUGAGAGGAAGGUCCCCCACACUGGAACUGAGACACGGUCCAGACUCCUACGGGAGGCAGCAGUGAGGAAUAUUGGUCAAUGGUCUGACGACUGAACCAGCCAUGCCGCGUGAAGGUCACGGCCCUAUGGGUCUUAAACUUCUUUUGCAAGGGAGCAAUAAGCCUCACGUGUGGGGCGAUGAGAGUACCUUGCGAAUAGCAUCGGCUAACUCCGUGCCAGCAGCCG
rnacentral:rRNA from 1 species